GCAGUCGAACGCUGCUUAAGAAGAAACUUCGGUUUUUUCUUAAGCGGAGUGGCGGACGGGUGAGUAACACGUGGGGAACCUAUCCAUCAGCGGGGGAUAACACUUGGAAACAGGUGCUAAUACCGCAUACGGCUUUUUUUCACCUGAAAGAAAGCUCAAAGGCGCUUUACAGCGUCACUGAUGGCUGGUCCCGCGGUGCAUUAGCCAGUUGGUGAGGUAACGGCUCACCAAAGCAACGAUGCAUAGCCGACCUGAGAGGGUGAUCGGCCACACUGGGACUGAGACACGGCCCAGACUCCUACGGGAGGCAGCAGUAGGGAAUCUUCGGCAAUGGACGCAAGUCUGACCGAGCAACGCCGCGUGAGUGAAGAAGGUUUUCGGAUCGUAAAGCUCUGUUGUCAGCAAAGAACAGGAGAAAGAGGCAAUGCUUUUUCUAUGACGGUAGCUGACCAGAAAGCCACGGCUAACUACGUGCCAGCAGCCGCGGUAAUACGUAGGUGGCAAGCGUUGUCCGGAUUUAUUGGGCGUAAAGCGAGCGCAGGCGGUGAUUUAAGUCUGAUGUGAAAGCCCCCAGCUCAACUGGGGAGGGUCAUUGGAAACUGGAUCACUUGAGUGCAGAAGAGGAGAGUGGAAUUCCAUGUGUAGCGGUGAAAUGCGUAGAUAUAUGGAGGAACACCAGUGGCGAAGCGGCUCUCUGGUCUGUAACUGACGCUGAGGCUCGAAAGCGUGGGUAGCAAACAGGAUUAGAUACCCUGGUAGUCCACGCCGUAAACGAUGAGUGCUAAGUGUUGGAGGGUUUCCGCCCUUCAGCUGCAGUACGCAUUAGCCUCCCCUGGGGGUACGACCGCAGGU
rnacentral:rRNA from 1 species